UUAGAUACCAUGAGACCACUGAGGUUUUUCAUGCAAUGAAUUUGGCAUAAGAAUGGAAAGAGAGCUUCAUUUGACCGGUGGGCUUUAGCCUCAAUCAAUUAUGGAGGAGAAUAAAUAUUUUAUCUAGAGUCCUAAAACCUUUCCCACCUCUUCCUCUUAUUUUACCCAUUCCCAUCCUAAGGCCAUAGUGUUACAAGCCCAGCCCAUUCAACAAAAAUCAUUGACUACCUUUCAAUCAUCGUCUUCUCCAUCUUCUGUCUCCACCCUAAAAGACCUUUCUUCCUCCUGUCCUCCCACAAACCCACUUCCCUUCAGGCUCCUAAAGCACAAGCUCUCUACCAUUAUUCCCACUAAGAGCACCAAGAUUUGCAAGCCAAGAGUCUCUAUUUUUGCUAUAAGCAACCCUAUUCUCCUCUCCUGGAAGGCCCACUCAAAACCUUGCGAUCUUUAAUCGCCACUAAGGAUGAGGAUACUAGUGACCC
rnacentral:lncRNA from 1 species